AAGAGAUCGGCGCUGGGACCGGGGGAGACUUCCACCUGGAAAAUGGCAGUGUCGUGAUGGUCUCCAAGCGGCCUCCCCGCAGCUUCAGCGUGCUGGGACUGGUUCGCCGGCCUGGAAAUUUCGACGGUUUGAAUGAUGAGGAUCUGCACCUCCUGGACGCGAUCGCCAUGGCGGGCGGCCGCACGAUGGAAAUUGCUGACAAGGUACGCGUCUAUCGCCAGAUCGAAGGACAAGAGACGCCGGUCGUGAUUGACGCUUCGUUCAAAGACGCCAUGGCCGGCGGCCCCGAUAACCUUCGCCUGGCGCCGGGAGACGUCGUCAGCGUGGAGGACACUCCGCUCACCAUGGCUUUAACGGCGAUCAGGAGCUUUGCGCGAUUCAGCGUCGGCGCGACUGCUCGGGUCCCGGGCUUCUAAACUUUGCGUAUGACCCACAACGUAUGAUGCGCGAUCCUGGGGAAACUUCGCCCGACCUUUCGGCGCCCAGCGCCGAAAGGUCGGG
rnacentral:misc_RNA from 1 species